rnacentral:rRNA from 1 species
UACGAAGGGGGCUAGCGUUGCUCGGAAUCACUGGGCGUAAAGCGCACGUAGGCCGAUUGUUAAGUCAGGGGUGAAAUCCUGGGGCUCAACCUCAGAAUUGCCUCCGAUACUGGCAGUCUCGAGUGCGGGAGAGGUGAGUGGAAUUCCCAGUGUAGAGGUGAAAUUCGUAGAUAUUCGCAAGAACACCAGUGGCGAAGGCGGCUCACUGGCCCGAUACUGACGCUGAGGCACGAAAGCGUGGGGAGCAAACAGG